rnacentral:lncRNA from 1 species
ACAUUUUUGCAUGGUUCUUGAUUGACUUUCUGGUGCUCUGCCUGGAGGUCUUUGCUUAUCUGUGAGUUGCCUGAGUCACAUUUUUACAUGGUUCUGGUGCUCUGCCUGCAGGUCAAGAAGGAGCCAGUAUCUCCAGGAGGAGUGAGAGAGUGCUCUGCCAGUGUGAAGUGUGAAUCCUUGAGAGGCUGUGGCAAGGGUCCAUGCCUGAAUGUGUAGAACAAGAACAGCUGGAGGCUGUGGCUUUCUCCAGGAAGAGGUUUCUAAAUCUGCCUCUUAGAAGAUAUCAGAAAGUUAAAGUUUCUCUUGCUGCCGCCGUGUAAGAAGGACCUUUUGCCUCCCACCAUGAUUCUAAGUCCUCCCCAGCCACGUGGAACUAGCCAAGUAAUCUAAGAAAGGCAGAAUGACAGCUAGCCUGGGAAAUGGAAUAACAUCACUUCUGUCACAUUCCAUUGGCCAAACAUAUCAAACUUGAUACAGCAUGAGAGGGGACUAUACAAGAAUGUGGAUACCAGGAAAUGAGGAUCAGUGGGGACCAGCUUGGAGGCUGACAACAACAGGAGAUGAUAAUGAAUAGUGAAAAAUGCCAAGCAGACAAUAAGCAGAAGGAACAGAGGAAAUCCACAAACUGGAUAAUUGUUUCUUGAGUAACUGACCAUCAAUCUAGAUAGUGGUUGCAGUAAUUUCAAAUUCUUCUCUUCCUUUUCACUUCAGGCUUUCAUUUGGUCUCUUUUCGAAUCAGAAGACCCAGAAAACUUGGAUCCACUUCUGGCUCUCAUCCCUCUGGGCAGUGUGAUUUGGAGUAAAGCAGCUACGGCUUAGAAAGGCUGAGGAACUUGCCUGAGGCUAUCCAGCUACUGAGAGAUAAACUGGGGUGUGAAUUCAGAGAGCUUGACUCCUGAGGCUCCACCUGUGCCUAUAAUUCCAGCAUGACACCUGGUAAUGGGCACUCAGUAUAUGCUUGUUGAUCUAAACUCAGUGUGUGUGUGUGUGUCUGUGUGUGUCUGUGUGUGUGUGUGUGUGUGUGUGUGUGUGUGUGGUCUUCCUCUCACAUCCAAAGCUACUAGCACUGAGGAAGUUGGGCAUGGUGUAGGAAAGAGAAAUCUUUGCUGUUAAAUCUCAUUUCCAGCAUAACUGUCAAUGGAGAGGUGGCAUGGAAGGGACAACCAGUUCGUGUACCAAAUUACUCUCAGCUUGCUUGUUGUCUUAGGCAUAUGUUCUGGGAGUGGCCAACACCUGUUUUACAUCUGUGUUAGUCUUUGCGGAAUAAAAAGCAAAUUAGGGUUUAAUGGGGACUAUUAAUCUUGUCACCUAAUUGAGUAGAUCUAAUAAAUCUUUUCAUUCAAAACCCAAUGGGAAUUUCUAGUUGGAAAUGAGUGUGGGGAAUAUUCAAUCUCAAAAAUAUUUUCAUACACAAAGAUUAUAUAUGAGUUUGUGAAAGAUGUUGAAUAUUCAAUGAAAUUUAAUGAGUAUGAAUUGAACACUUAUCCUGGGCCUAGAACUGUUGGCAGUUGCUUUUGAGAGUUACAGAGUACAUUUAUGGUAAUUACUGCACUUACGAAUUUUGCUAUGUGGUUUGGGAGUAUCUGAAGUAUCUUAUAGUAGGUCUCUAAACUGGUAAUAAUAAAAAGUUCAAAUAUAUUAUUUUGUUACACUCCACGAGGAUCAAACUUCAUCAUGACAUGAUUAUAAUUUGAAAUAUGAGUAAGAAAUACGUAGGGUCAUGAUCUCUAUAAGCCCAUUCUUUGCUUCUUAAUUAAAUUUUGCAGCUGAUAGAAACAUUGAAAGCAGAGCAUUAGCUUAUAAAUAAUUCAGAAAAUGGUUGGUAACUCCCAUAGUAUAUGUUUUAUGAGUUUUGUUUAAGAAGAGUCUAUUUCGUGUUAGGUAAAGUUGGCCAUUGUUUAGAAUAAAGACCUGCAUUACUUUCUAUUCUAAAUUAAACUGUUAAUGGGAGUGCUUGCAAAGGCCUUGGUGCUUUUUUUUCUGUUUAAUAGGAGCAACAUCACUUUGGAUCAAUUAUUUAAUUUCCUUAUGUCAGAGUUCUUUCAAUUUAAAGGAAAAUAUUUCCUUUCCUCAUUCCUUUUUCUCUGAGGAUGAACCAGACAUUGGAAGUUGUAGCCUGGGAUUGUACUGGAGCUCUCACUGUGGUUGCAUUCUUUCUUCACAUUCAGCGUCCUCCUUAAAGCACACAUUUUCACGUACAUCUAUUAAAUUACCUGGGAGAGAGUUCUAGACACUAUCAGUCAGUAAAUCCAGUUGUCUCAUUUUUCAGUUUUAGCUAUUGUUGCGGUCAUAUGCCAAGGCUUGUAUGAAUGAAGGGUCUAUAAAAAUAUCUGCUGUGGUGUGAUUUUUUUUAUCCUUGUAUGAGACCAUAGCAUGAGACAGUAGACUGGCAAAUUGGCAGGGCGAGGAGAGUGUUUGUGCUUACACGGGGCAAUGAAAAGAGUUUUGAUUCUUCUUUAGCUAAAUGUUAUAAAACUUUAAAGCUUACAUUUGAAUAAUCGUUGCAGAUGGGUUAGAUAAAAUCCAUCAACUCACAAUGUUUUUCCUGUUUCCAUUCACUAGUGAGUAACAAGGUUAAAAGAAGGAAUGUUCUAUAAAAUAAGAUAUAGAAUUUGGGUUAGGUUUACAAGUGAAGAGUUCCUCUUUGCCCUGCCCCCAAAUUAUUUUUAGGCCCCAGGCCUCUGAAGCCAAGGUAAUCUGCAGGGCAGCUUUCACAUUUUAUCACAAGUCAGUGGUCUCUCCUCUUCCUUGUCCCUCCUAUCUUGCCGGCAAAUGGCUCUGUGGGAAACCCAUUCUGCUUCCUGUUUAAACUGUAG